rnacentral:rRNA from 1 species
CGAGAAUUUUUCUCAAUGGGCGAAAGCCUGAAGGAGCGACGCCGCGUGGAGGAUGAAGGUCUUCGGAUUGUAAACUCCUGUCAUUGGUGAACAAAGCUUACGGUUUACUGCCGUGGAGCGUGCUAGUAGCCAAAGAGGAAGGGACGGCUAACUCUGUGCCAGCAGCCGCGGUAAUACAGAGGUCCCGAGCGUUGUUCGGAAUUAUUGGGCGUAAAGGGUGCGUAGGCGGUAGGGUAAGUUAGAUGUGAAAUGUCGGCGCUUAACGUCGAACCUGCAUUUAAGACUGCCCUGCUUGAGCGCUAGAGAGGAGUCUGGAAUUUACGGUGUAGCAGUGAAAUGCGUAGAUAUCGUAAGGAAGGCCAGUGGCGAAAGCGAGACUCUGGCUAGAUGCUGACGCUGAGGCACGAAAGCUGGGGGAGCAAACGGGA